GACAGAGGGUGCAAGCGUUGUUCGGAAUUACUGGGCGUAAAGCGCGUGUAGGCUGCCCCGCAAGUCGGAUGUGAAAGCCCUGGGCUCAACCUAGGAAGUGCAUUCGAAACUGCGGGGCUGGAGUCCUGGAGAGGAAGGCGGAAUUCUCGGUGUAGAGGUGAAAUUCGUAGAUAUCGAGAGGAACACCGGUGGCGAAGGCGGCCUUCUGGACAGUGACUGACGCUGAGACGCGAAAGCGUGGGGAGCAAACAGG
rnacentral:rRNA from 1 species